GUGUCCACACUGUUGGUUAGUUGUACUGCCUUGUUUGUAGCAGGAACAUAUCAGUGUGGACAAAGAGCAAAUUAUCAUCUACAAAGGAGACAUUUCAAUAGUUUAGAGAAUGUCUUAAAGGCACGAUGAUACAAA